CAAAAAGCUGUGCCAGUUUAUUUUUACUUUAUUUUGGAAAGGCGAUAAUAAGGUUGAAUUAUUGUAUGUUAUGACUUUUCCGGCCAUUACGGCUAAAGAUUUCAGGACUGUUUCUGAGUUUAAAGAAAUUAUAUGUGCAAAAUUUGGAUGCCUGAAGUAGUAUGGUUUAAUAAAUCCCUUUCUUUCAUAAUCAAAAAGUGGACAACGGAGGAUAUAGUGAAAAAUAUCACCAAUAUCGCACUGUGUGCACUGUGUGCAAAAUGGGCAUUUCCUUUGAUUGUACGGUAUUUUUGAAAUUGGGCAUGACCCAGUUUCAAUAGGGAGCCCGUUAUUUUCUGAUCUUAAAUGGAAUAGAUUUAAACGAGUUAUAUAUUAAACAGAAGAAAGGUUCAUCAGGACAGAAAUCACUGCAUAAAGAAUUCAAUUAUAUUUGUGAGGUAUCCAUUAUAAUUUUAGAGAAUUGUAUAUAUCAGAAUUUAAAAUGAAGUUCCUUAUUGCUGUUUGCUGCUUAUUGUGUAAAGCCCCAGUGAAGGCGCGUGGUA